UGGUGGAAAGCUUUUGCGGUUUUGGAUGGACUCGCGGCCUAUCAGCUUGUUGGUGGGGUAAUGGCCUACCAAGGCGACGACGGGUAGCCGGCCUGAGAGGGUGACCGGCCACACUGGGACUGAGACACGGCCCAGACUCCUACGGGAGGCAGCAGUGGGGAAUAUUGCACAAUGGGCGAAAGCCUGAUGCAGCGACGCCGCGUGAGGGAUGACGGCCUUCGGGUUGUAAACCUCUUUCAGUAGGGAAGAAGCCGCAAGGUGACGGUACCUGCAGAAGAAGCGCCGGCUAACUACGAGCCAGCAGCCGCGGUAAUACGUAGGGCGCAAGCGUUAUCCGGAAUUAUUGGGCGUAAAGAGCUCGUAGGCGGUUUGUCGCGUCUGCCGUGAAAGUCCGGGGCUCAACUCCGGAUCUGCGGUGGGUACGGGCAGACUAGAGUGAUGUAGGGGAGACUGGAAUUCCUGGUGUAGCGGUGAAAUGCGCAGAUAUCAGGAGGAACACCGAUGGCGAAGGCAGGUCUCUGGGCAUUAACUGACGCUGAGGAGCGAUAAUGCAUGGGGAGCGAACAGGAUUAGAUACCCAUGGUAGUCCAUGCCGUAAACGUUGGGCACUAGGUGUGUGGGGUACAUUCCACGUUUUCCGCGC
rnacentral:rRNA from 1 species